GGGGUUGUAGCUCAGUGGUAGAGUGCUUACCUAGGAUGUGCGAGGCCCUGGGUUUAAUUCCCAGCACCA
rnacentral:tRNA from 1 species